rnacentral:rRNA from 1 species
UACGGGGGGGGCAAGCGUUGUUCGGAAUUACUGGGCGUAAAGGGCUCGUAGGCGGCCAACUAAGUCAGACGUGAAAUCCCCAGGCUCAACCUGGGAACUGCGUCUGAUACUGGAUGGCUUGAAUCCGGGAGAGGGAUGCAGAAUUCCAGGUGUAGCGGUGAAAUGCGCAGAUAUCAGGAAGAACACCCGUGGCGAAGGCGGCUAUCUGGACGGUUACUGACGCUAAGACGCGAAAGCGUGGGGAGCAAACAGG